rnacentral:rRNA from 1 species
CCUACGGGUGGCAGCAGUGGGGAAUAUUGGGCAAUGGGCGCAAGCCUGACCCAGCAACGCCGCGUGAAGGAAGAAGGCUUUCGGGUUGUACACUUCUUUUAAUAGGGAAGAACAGAGGACGGUACCUCUUGAAUAAACCACGGCUAACUACGUGCCAGCAGCCGCGGUAAUACGUAGGUGGCAAGCGUUGUCCGGAUUUACUGGGUGUAAAGGGCGUGUAGGCGGGCUGACAAGUCAGAUGUGAAAUCCCGUGGCUCAACCACGGAACUGCAUUUGAAACUGUCGGUCUUGAGUAUCGGAGAGGCAGGCGGAAUUCCUAGUGUAGCGGUGAAAUGCGUAGAUAUUAGGAGGAACACCAGUGGCGAAGGCGGCCUGCUGGACGAUAACUGACGGUGAGGCGCGAAAGCGUGGGGAGCAAACAGGAUUAGAUACCCCUGUAGUC